UACGUAGGGGGCAAGCGUUGUCCGGAAUCAUUGGGCGUAAAGAGCGUGUAGGCGGUCCGGUAAGUCGGUUGUGAAAGUCCAGGGCUCAACCCUGGGAUGCCGAUCGAUACUGUCGGACUAGAGUUCGGAAGAGGCGAGUGGAAUUCCCGGUGUAGCGGUGAAAUGCGCAGAUAUCGGGAGGAACACCAAUGGCGAAGGCAGCUCGCUGGGACGGUACUGACGCUGAGACGCGAAAGCGUGGGGAGCAAACAGG
rnacentral:rRNA from 1 species